UCAGCUUUAAGAGAUUGGUUUAUAAAGGAAAUAUUUCAGAUGAUGAGUUGAUGAAGCCCAUAAUGCAGUCUGGGCCUGUGACAAUCCUGUUAACAUGSCAGCUAUAAAAUUGCACCCACAUCCAUACACACAUUUAUGCAUAUGAAUGUAUAUUAAUCUCCUAAUUGGCCUGUAAAUGAGAUGUUGGUGCUGUCUAAAAAUGAGACAGCGCAUACUGAGGAGUACAAGGAUUUUAUCUGUGGGCUUAUUUGUAAAAUGCUGACACUUCAAUUCARUUCUUAAUUUUUGCAAUCUGGAUGCCUGGGUGGGGACAGAUUAUGGUGGUGCUGCUCAUGGAGCUCCAGCAGCACAGAUCAGCAGAGGACCCAACCCACGCAGAGCAGUUCCUCUUGUUUCCUUGUGAAAACUGGUGUGAUUCCUCUCACUGAUGAAGUGGCAAACCCGUCUUCCACGAUUCCAGCUGGCAUGGUGGCGUGCUGCAGGAUGUGCAGGAUAUGGCCUGGAGCCCUUCUGCUUCCAUGGCCCUGAGCUCACGCUUGUUCCAGUGGUAACAACAACACUGCUAAUAAGGAUAAUGRCUGCAGAGCUGGAAGAGUAUAUCUGAUGUUUUCACAGUUKCCUUCACAUGUUUAGGAACACCAAUGAAUUUAGCACAGAGGCACUUGGACACAGACAACGAUUCACCAGCUUGGAGGUCUCUCUGAGCAUCUCAGGGAAUUGUCGCAAGGGGAACAAGUCUGCAAUAACGGGAAUUCAUCUACAUCACAAGGACAGUGCUUUUAGAAAAAGAAAGUUCUUCUUCCUGACAGCCUUACCCACAAAUUCACUGACAAAAGAGCUGUUUGUUGGACAGGAGGUUGCAAACAUCAGAGCCUGACCUCAGCCAURAUUACAUGGGACACUGCUGCCAUUGAUAUCACCUCAGUUCACAGCAAUUGGGAGGGAAAUUAAACCUCUGUUUGCACAAGGGGCUGUGCAUUCAUAUGCCCCUAUAAGCCAGGGAUGUAUCRAUUUUCCAGCUGGGGUAAUUUCCAGUUUAAUGAAUUACUACUAAAAUGAGAGGAAAGGUUUCUCCUACUCACUGCAAUUUCACACCAACAYUGGGGAUCAGCUGGCCAGGCAGAAUCUGUGACAUGCUGGGAAACAGAGYAAUUCUCCAGUUUUACAGGGCAGUUCUCCAAAUUGUUAAUAUUAUUCAGGUCAGAUCUUCUCAGGACAAAGCAGAAAGGUGCGUACCCCAGAUUGAGCACCUUAUCAAACCAUCCCCCUGCAAUGGCACAUGGAAAGAGCUGUGCACAAAGGGAAGGGGCAGAGUGACUGAACAGACUUCAGGCAGCAAAGCGUCCCCAUGGCAUCAAAAUCCACGUGGUAUUAGUAGCAUUUAUUCCUUAGCCAUCAGUUGUGAAUUGUUUGGAGUUUUAUUUAAUGUCCCCUUGUUCUCCUCUUCCCCCAACCCCAAGUUUACAAAGUAAUUUAUGCAUGCGUGGAGAGAUUGACAUUUAAUAGGAUUUUUGAAAAAUGGAAUUAAAAAUUUCAGGAAAGGAAAAUCAGCUGGAAAAUCACAUUUGAUCUUUUCAUUGAGACAAAUAGGGAGAAAUUAAGAGAUGUCAAGUGAUGAUGUGGGGUUGACAGGGAAGUGGAGAUAGAGGCACUUAAAUAUCACACGAAGUUCUACAGAUUUAUUUUACUGUGGAAAAAAAACCCCACAAAAUACUGGAUUUUUUUCCAAGUUUUAGAUAAUUUUUGGGUAAAUUUAAUACCUGGUUUGGCUUUACUAUUUUUUUUCUUUUGUAGAAAAUGCACCAGAAUUAUAGAUAAAAUAUGUUUCUGAUCCAUGUGUUGAGCUCCCCUGCUGUCGUUGCAACAUCUGUCCCAUCACAGAGCACAUCUGCUCCCCAGUCAGUGACAAAUCUGCUCAUAGCUGCUGGAAGAUUGUUCAUGCUUACAACAUUCUCUCACCGUUCAUAAAGUAUUCAACUGCAUGCUGAGGAGGUUUAGAGAAAUAAUACCUAUGAUUUUACUAACUCUGGUUUGUACUUCUUUGCUUAAAAUGCCCUUUUUGCCCUAAAUUUAGAACAGAUGUGAAAAGUUACGGAUUUUUCUAAAUAUGACUUUUCUUUAAAAAAAA